UGAUAAUUAGUUUAACAUAAAACAAAUGAUUUCGACUCAUUAGAUUAUGAUCAAUUUCAUAAUUAUCAA
rnacentral:tRNA from 2 species